rnacentral:misc_RNA from 1 species
GAUGAAGAACGUAGCGAAAUGCGAUAAGUAAUGCGAAUUGCAGAAUUUCCGUGAGUCAUCGAAUCUUUGAACGCACAUUGCGCCCACUGGUAUUCCGGUGGGCAUGCCUGUUCGAGCGUCAUUAUCCUCCCUCAAACCCCGGGUUUGGUGUUGGACCGAAGUUGUGUGAACAACUGGUCUGAAAGACAAUGACGGCGUCCGUGGGACCCUCAGUGCAACGAGCUUUCACAAGCACGCAUUGAGUUGCAAGGACCCUCCGGGCCGGUCUACUGUAACAUUUUCUAAAAGUUGACCUCGGAUCAGGUAGGAAUACCCGCUGAACUUAAGCAUAUCAAUAAGCGGAGGA